rnacentral:rRNA from 1 species
CCUACGGGUGGCAGCAGUGAGGAAUAUUGGUCAAUGGGCGAGAGCCUGAACCAGCCAAGUCGCGUGAAGGAUGACGGCCCUCCGGGUUGUAAACUCCUUCUGUCAGGGAGCAAUUGAGUACACGUGUGAGCUUAGCGAGAGUACCUGAAGACAAAGCAUCGGCUAACUAAGUGCCAGCAGCCACGGUAAUACGUAGGAUGCGUGCGUUAUCCGGAUUGAUUGGGUUAAAAGGGUGCGUAGGCGGAAUAUCAAGUCAGCGGUAAAAAUUCGGGGCUCAACCGCGUCGUGCCGUUGAAACUGAUGUUCUUGAGUGGGCGAGAAGUAUGUGGAAUGCGAGGUGUAGCGGUGAAAUGCAUAGAGAUGACGCAGAACUCCGAUGGCGAAGGCAGCAUACCGGCGCCCAACUGACGCUGAAGCACGAAAGCGUGGGGAGCGAACAGGAUUAGAUACCCGAGUAGUC